rnacentral:rRNA from 1 species
GAUUUCACCCGAAAUUGGGAAGCUAACCUUUGGGGGGCUACCACUUACGGUGGAAUUAGCGACUGGGGUGAAGUCGUAACAAGGUAACCGUAGGUGAACCUGCAGAAGGAUCA